ACUAGUUUUUAUCUUGGCCUAAUUUUUAUGUAAUUCUGUUUUUUCCUCACAUUGUCUCAUCAAGUGGAUGGAUUGUAAGAGGACUAGAAAUUAUGAUCUCAUGUAGAUGAAGAGCAUUUGUAUAUAUAUAUAUCCUUUGUAGAUGCAUAAGACAUUUCUGGAAGAAUAAGAAACUUGCUAAUAAUGACUACCUCUGGGAAAAGAAUUGGUGUCCAAGUUAGGAGAAAUAUUUUAUAUACCAUUUUGAACUGUUUGAAUAUUUUACCAGGUACAUGUGGUACUUUGUUUUUUUAAUUAAAAGAAGAUCACAAAAAAUUAGGAAGCUUUUUCCAACUAAACAUUAUUGACAAGUUUAAUGAUACUUAUGAUCAAGCUAGUUUUUCAAGAUGCAUUUUUGAAAAGCAUUUUUUUUUAAACAAGUAUUCAAGAUGCAUCUUUUCUAGGCUUUUUUCUUUUCAAGUAACGGAGAAGUAACUUUAUAACUGGAAAAAGGUCAUUGAAGAGCAAGUCUAGGCUUUCUUCCACCUCCAUUUACGUUAUUAAGGCCCAGAAAACAGAAGACAACCUAUUCACAUUUCAAAGCAUAGUAGAUGAUGUAUUUGUUAUCAUUGAAAAUGCACAUUGAUAAGAGCCAUGAAGACUGGGAGCUUGAUCAGCAGUGUUUCUGUGCUUGCGAGGUCAACCUGAACCCCUGGGAGCCUGCCUUCUGUGACCGUCACACCAGCAGACAGCUGCACUGUCCACGCUGCUGUGAGGACUUCUAGGCUUCUCUUCUCCCUACUGCCUGGUAUCCUAGAACACCCAUCUAUAUAUACAUCUGACUCUCCUAGUCCCCAGGUGGCAGACACAAGUUGCCUCCAGCAAACCAGGUUAAAGAGGGCUUCUCAGAAGAUGGUCCUAGGAAGUCAUGCUACUACAUGAAUGAAAGUAAAAUUGGAUCCCCACCUACCACUACGUCCCAGAGACCAUCACCAAAAGAGAGAGAGAGCAAGUUGGAAUGUAGCCUCCUUAUAAGAACUGAUUUGUUCUUACAAGAGAAAGUGUGUGAGAUGAGAAUGCCUUAUCCUUAGGAAGUAUCAGUUGAAGAAAAUAAGAAUGAAGGAGCGUGGUGUCUGCAAGUUUGGUUCAUAGAAAACAAUAGUGCUACCCAGAUGGAACUGAGCAGCCUCUUUCUUCAUGUCCUUCCUGUGCACCUCGACACAUUUCUGCUGUAGCAUCUGCACGUGCUCCUUCACCUGGCUGCUGCCUCCAGCAGGACUGCAAGCCCCCAGAAUGGUGCCCUUUUAUCCUUGGUUUGUCACUUUGUGCCUGGAACACCUCACAAAGGGUGUUAAUGAUUUAUGUUCAUUUAUUCUUUUUGUAAUCGGAAUGAAAGUCUCAUAAUAUUAACCAUUCUAAAGUGAACAAUUUACUUCUAGGACAUUCACAAUGUUGCGCAACCACCAUCUCGAUCUAGUUCCCAGACUUUUUUUCCCACCAAAAUAUAACCCAUACUCAUUAAGCAGUUACUCCCCAUUCUUACCUCCCUAUACCCCUGGCAAUCAUCUGUGUUCUUUCUAUGUGUUUGCCUAUUCUGGGUAUUUCAUCUAAUAGAAUCAUACAGUAUGUGAUCGUUUUGUCUGGUUUAUUUCACUUAGCAUAUUGUUUUCCAGGUUUAUCCACAUUAUAGCAUGC
ensembl:lncRNA